CGUGUGGUGUCCGGCAAAGAUUCGGAUAGCGACACGGCCUACAUUUGAGGU
rfam:Vibrio cincinnatiensis DSM 19608 genome assembly, contig: BS67DRAFT_scaffold00015.15